GUAACACGUAUGCAACCUGCCCCAAACAGGGGGAUAGCCUCUCGAAAGAGAGAUUAAUACCCCAUAAUAAUGUUGUUAGGCAUCUAAUGAUAUUUAAAGCUGAGGCGGUUUGGGAUGGGCAUGCGGUUGAUUAGGUAGUUGGUGAGGUAAUGGCUCACCAAGCCAACGAUCAAUAGGGGGUCUGAGAGGAUGUCCCCCCACACUGGUACUGAGACACGGACCAGACUCCUACGGGAGGCAGCAGUAGGGAAUAUUGGACAAUGGGGGCAACCCUGAUCCAGCCAUGCCGCGUGCAGGAAGACUGCCCUAUGGGUUGUAAACUGCUUUUGUACGGGAAGAAACCUCACUACGAGUAGUGAGUUGACGGUACCGUGAGAAUAAGGAUCGGCUAACUUCGUGCCAGCAGCCGCGGUAAUACGAAGGAUCCAAGCGUUGUCCGGAUUUACUGGGUUUAAAGGGUGCGUAGGCGGGCUAUUAAGUCAGUGGUGAAAGCCGAUCGCUUAACGAUCGAACUGCCAUUGAAACUGAUAGUCUUGAGUAUGUUUGAGGUUACUGGAAUAUAACAUGUAGCGGUGAAAUGCUUAGAUAUGUUAUAGAACACCAAUUGCGAAGGCAGGUAACUAAGUCAUAACUGACGCUGAGGCA
rnacentral:rRNA from 1 species